rnacentral:rRNA from 1 species
GGCGGCAUGCCUUACACAUGCAAGUCGAACGGCAGCACGGGGGCAACCCUGGUGGCGAGUGGCGAACGGGUGAGUAAAACAUCGGAACGUGUCCUGUAGUGGGGGAUAGCCCGGCGAAAGCCGGAUUAAUACCGCAUACGCUCUGCGGAGGAAAGCGGGGGAUCUUCGGACCUCGCGCUACAGGGGCGGCCGAUGGCAGAUUAGCUGGUUGGUGGGGUAAAGGCCUACCAAGGCGACGAUCUGUAGCUGGUCUGAGAGGACGACCAGCCACACUGGGACUGAGACACGGCCCAGACUCCUACGGGAGGCAGCAGUGGGGAAUUUUGGACAAUGGGGGCAACCCUGAUCCAGCAAUGCCGCGUGUGUGAAGAAGGCCUUCGGGUUGUAAAGCACUUUUGUCCGGAAAGAAAACCUCUGCCCUAAUACGGUGGGGGGAUGACGGUACCGGAAGAAUAAGCACCGGCUAACUACGUGCCAGCAGCCGCGGUAAUACGUAGGGUGCAAGCGUUAUCGGAAUUACUGGGCGUAAAGCGUGCGCAGGCGGUUCGCUAG